UCAAGUAAUUAAGUGCAUGUGGUGGAUGCCUUGGCAGUCAGAGGCGAUGAAAGACGUGAUAGCCUGCGAAAAGCUCCGGGGAGGCGGCAAAUAUCCUUUGAUCCGGAGAUGUCUGAAUGGGGGAACCCACCUACUUUAAGGUAGGUAUUGCAACAUGAAUACAUAGUGUUGCAAGGCGAACGAGGGGAAGUGAAACAUCUCAGUACCCUUAGGAAAAGAAAUCAAUUGAGAUUCCCUCAGUAGCGGCGAGCGAACGGGGAUCAGCCCAUUAAGUUAUGUGUGUUUUAGUGGAACGCUCUGGGAAGUGCGAACGUAGAGGGUGAUAUUCCCGUACACGAAAGGGCACACAUAAUGAUGACGAGUAGGGCGAGGCACGUGAAACCUUGUCUGAAUAUGGGGGGACCAUCCUCCAAGGCUAAAUACUCCUGACUGACCGAUAGUGAACCAGUACCGUGAGGGAAAGGCGAAAAGAACCCCUGUGAGGGGAGUGAAAUAGAUCCUGAAACCGCAUGCAUACAAGCAGUGGGAGCACCUUCGUGGUGUGACUGCGUACCUUUUGUAUAAUGGGUCAGCGACUUAUAUUCAGUAGCGAGGUUAACCGUAUAGGGGAGCCGUAGAGAAAUCGAGUCUUAAUAGGGCGUUUAGUUGCUGGGUAUAGACCCGAAACCAGGCGAUCUAUCCAUGAGCAGGUUGAAGGUUGGGUAACACUAACUGGAGGACCGAACCCACUGUCGUUGAAAAGCCAGGGGAUGACUUGUGGAUAGGGGUGAAAGGCUAAUCAAGCCUGGUGAUAGCUGGUUCUCCCCGAAAGCUAUUUAGGUAGCGCCUCGGACGAAUACCAUAGGGGGUAGAGCACUGUUUCGGCUAGGGGGUCAUCCCGACUUACCAAACCGAUGCAAACUCCGAAUACCUAUGAGUACUAUCCGGGAGACAGACUGCGGGUGCUAACGUCCGUAGUCAAGAGGAAAACAAUCCAGACCGCCAGCUAAGGCCCCAAAAUCAUAGUUAAGUGGGAAACGAUGUGGGAAGGCAUAGACAGCUAGGAGGUUGGCUUAGAAGCAGCCACCCUUUAAAGAAAGCGUAAUAGCUCACUAGUCGAGUCGGCCUGCGCGGAAGAUGUAACGGGGCUAAAACUAUGUGCCGAAGCUGCGGAUGUAUACUUUGUAUACGUGGUAGGGGAGCGUUCUGUAAGCCGAUGAAGGUGUGUUGAGAAGCAUGCUGGAGGUAUCAGAAGUGCGAAUGCUGACGUGAGUAACGACAAAACGGGUGAAAAACCCGUUCGCCGAAAGACCAAGGGUUCCAGUCCAACGUUAAUCGGGGCUGGGUGAGUCGACCCCUAAGGCGAGGCCGAAAGGCGUAGUCGAUGGGAAAAUGGUUAAUAUUCCAUUACUUCUGUGUAAUGCGAUGAGAGGACGGAGAAGGCUAAAUCAGCCUGGCGUUGGUUGUCCAGGUGAAAGGAUGUAGGCAUGUAUCUUAGGCAAAUCCGGGGUACUCUAUGCUGAGAUCUGAUAGCAAGCUGUACUUGUACAGCGAAGUGGUUGAUGCCAUGCUUCCAGGAAAAGUCUCUAAGCUUCAGUUACACAGGAAUCGUACCCGAAACCGACACAGGUGGUCAGGUCGAGUAGACCAAGGCGCUUGAGAGAACUCUGCUGAAGGAACUAGGCAAAAUGGUACCGUAACUUCGGGAGAAGGUACGCUGUUGUUGGUGAUGGAACUCGCUUCCUGAGCUGACGACAGCCGCAGAAACCAGGCCGCUGCAACUGUUUAUUAAAAACAUAGCACUCUGCAAACACGAAAGUGGACGUAUAGGGUGUGAUGCCUGCCCGGUGCUGGAAGGUUAAUUGAUGGGGUUAGCGUAAGCGAAGCUCUUGAUCGAAGCCCCAGUAAACGGCGGCCGUAACUAUAACGGUCCUAAGGUAGCGAAAUUCCUUGUCGGGUAAGUUCCGACCUGCACGAAUGGCAUAAUGAUGGCGGCGCUGUCUCCAGCAGAGGCUCAGUGAAAUCGAAAUCGCUGUGAAGAUGCAGUGUACCCGCGGCUAGACGGAAAGACCCCGUGAACCUUUACUGCAGCUUGACACUGAACUUUGACCUUACUUGUGUAGGAUAGGUGGGAGGCUUUGAAGCUGGAACGCUAGUUCCAGUGGAGCCGUCCUUGAAAUACCACCCUGGUAAUGUUGAGGUUCUAACUCUGUCCCGUGAUCCGGGACGAGGACCGUGUCUGGUGGGUAGUUUGACUGGGGCGGUCUCCUCCUAAAGAGUAACGGAGGAGUACGAAGGUGCGCUCAGCGUGGUCGGAAAUCACGCGUAGAGUAUAAAGGCAAAAGCGCGCUUAACUGCGAGACCCACAAGUCGAGCAGGUACGAAAGUAGGUCUUAGUGAUCCGGUGGUUCUGUAUGGAAGGGCCAUCGCUCAACGGAUAAAAGGUACUCUGGGGAUAACAGGCUGAUACCGCCCAAGAGUUCAUAUCGACGGCGGUGUUUGGCACCUCGAUGUCGGCUCAUCUCAUCCUGGGGCUGAAGCAGGUCCCAAGGGGAUGGCUGUUCGCCAUUUAAAGAGGUACGCGAGCUGGGUUUAGAACGUCGUGAGACAGUUCGGUCCCUAUCUACCGUGGGCGCUGGAAAUUUGAGAGGAUCUGCUCCUAGUACGAGAGGACCAGAGUGGACGAACCUCUGGUGUACCGGUUGUGACGCCAGUCGCAUCGCCGGGUAGCUAUGUUCGGAAGGGAUAACCGCUGAAAGCAUCUAAGCGGGAAGCCUACCUCAAGAUAAGAUUUCCCUAGGACUUUAUGUCCUCUAAAGAGCCGUUCGAGACUAGGACGUUGAUAGGUUGGAUGUGGAAGCAUAGUGAUAUGUGAAGCUGACCAAUACUAAUUGCUCGUGAGGCUUGACUAU
rnacentral:rRNA from 6 species